GUAGAUGCUCAUUCCAUCUCUUAUGUUCGCUUUAGGGCCUCAUAAACCCCGGAAUGAUGCAGAGCCAUUUACGGUGCUUAUCGUCCACUGACAGAUGUCGCUUCGGCCUCAUCAAACACCAUGGGCACAACGUUGAGUGAAGCACCACAAGUUGUCGAACAGACCUGUUUAACGCCUGCUUUUUAGCAGGCGUUUUUUU
rfam:Leclercia adecarboxylata strain I1 Leclercia_S84_R1__paired__contig_47, whole genome shotgun sequence.